GGCCCUGUAGCUGAGUGGUGCAGCACGCGACUCUAAAUCGCAGGACAUGGGUUCGAAUCCCAUCGGGGCCA
rnacentral:tRNA from 1 species